GCAGCACGGACUUCGGUCUGGUGGCUAGUGGCGAACGGGUAAGUAAUGGAUCGGAACGUGCCCAGUAGCGGGGGAUAACUACGCGAAAGCGUAGCUAAUACCGCAUACGCCCUACGGGGGAAAGCAGGGGAUCGCAAGACCUUGCACUAUUGGAGCGGCCGAUAUCGGAUUAGCUAGUUGGUGGGGUAACGGCUCACCAAGGCGACGAUCCGUAGCUGGUUUGAGAGGACGACCAGCCACACUGGGACUGAGACACGGCCCAGACUCCUACGGGAGGCAGCAGUGGGGAAUUUUGGACAAUGGGGGAAACCCUGAUCCAGCCAUCCCGCGUGUGCGAUGAAGGCCUUCGGGUUGUAAAGCACUUUUGGCAGGAAAGAAACGUCGCGGGUUAAUACCCCGCGAAACUGACGGUACCUGCAGAAUAAGCACCGGCUAACUACGUGCCAGCAGCCGCGGUAAUACGUAGGGUGCAAGCGUUAAUCGGAAUUACUGGGCGUAAAGCGUGCGCAGGCGGUUCGGAAAGAAAGAUGUGAAAAUCCCAGAGCUUAACUUUGGGAACUGCAUUUUUAACUACCGGGCUAGAGUGUGUCAGAGGGAGGU
rnacentral:rRNA from 1 species